CCCUCGUCCUGGACCGCGCAGCGCCAGGGCCGCCUCUCCUGACCGGCCUCAGGCCGGCUGUCCUGCCCUGCGCUCCGUGCUUCUGGCUGGUCACGGGCCUUCUCCGGCUCGGUGAGCUCAGGAACUAACUCAGGGCAGGCGUUGGGGCAGAAACCUGCUCCUGAUUUUACAACCAGCUUCUCCAGUCACCCCACAGGGGAGCUGUUAGGAGAGGGCUCUUUGGAAGGGGCUUCUGGGUCUUCGCCGAGAAUUACUAGUGAGAUCAUUGGGGUCCAGGGUUCAGUGGAGGAGGGUCAGGGCGUCCACUCCUCGCCCUGGGAACUGGCCUGCUCCCUUUCCACAGAUGCCGCGGCUACGCUGGGGAGCUCCGGGGCCUGCCGGCUCACAUGCCCGCUUGCUAGGUUAAGAGCUGCCUGCCGGGCACAGUUUCUCACGCCUGUAAUCCCCAGCACUUUGGGAGGCUGAGGCAGGUGGAUCACCUGAGGUCAGGAGUUCGAGACCAGCCUGGCCAACACGGUGAAACUCCGCCUCUACUAAAAAUACAAAAUUAGCCGGGCGUGGUGGUGGGCGCCUGUAAUCCCAGCUACUCGGGAGGCUGAGGCAGGAGAAUUGCUUGAACCUGGGAGGUGGAGGUUGGAGUGAGCCGAGAUGGCGCCACUGCACUCCAGCCUGGGCGACAGAGGGAGACUCCGUCUCAAAAAACAAAACAAAAACAAACAAACAAACUGCCUGAUGAUUCCUUCUCCCUUUUGUCAGCUCAGAGUCAGACCCUGCACUGCAGGGACGGCACAGGUGAUACAGACCCACCCUCCAGAGUGCACCACCCGUGCAGGCAGUGAGCCCCUGGCACUGGCCACCACCUGGUAAGGUGACAGUGGUAGGUCUGCAAAUAGCGUGGGCAUUGAGAUUUCUGGGAACAUUGGCUCUCCAGGCCGCUGCCUCCC
rnacentral:lncRNA from 10 species